rnacentral:rRNA from 1 species
UACAGAGGGUGCGAGCGUUGUCCGGAUUUAUUGGGCGUAAAGAGCGUGUAGGCGGCCUGAAAGGUCAGCUGUGAAAACUCGAGGCUCAACCUCGAGACGUCGGUUGAAACCAUCUGGCUAGAGUCCGGAAGAGGAGAGUGGAAUUCCCGGUGUAGCGGUGAAAUGCGCAGAUAUCGGGAAGAACACCCGUGGCGAAGGCGGCUCUCUGGGACGGUACUGACGCUGAGACGCGAAAGCGUGGGGAGCGAACAGG